rnacentral:rRNA from 2 species
UACGGGAAGAAACACCGGUUCGUGAACCGGCUUGACGGUACCGUAAGAAUAAGGAUCGGCUAACUCCGUGCCAGCAGCCGCGGUAAUACGGAGGAUCCAAGCGUUAUCCGGAAUCAUUGGGUUUAAAGGGUCCGUAGGCGGCCUUAUAAGUCAGUGGUGAAAUCCCGUCGCUCAACGAUGGAACUGCCAUUGAUACUGUAGGGCUUGAAUAACUGUGAAGUAACUAGAAUAUGUAGUGUAGCGGUGAAAUGCUUAGAUAUUACAUGGAAUACCAAUUGCGAAGGCAGGUUACUAAUAGUUCAUUGACGCUGAUGGACGAAAGCGUGGGUAGCGAACAGGAUUAGAUACCCUGGUAGUCCACGCUGUAAACGAUGGAUACUAGCUGUUUGGUAGCAAUACUGAGUGGCUAAGCGAAAGUGAUAAGUAUCCCACCUGGGGAGUACGUUCGCAAGAAUGAAACUCAAAGGAAUUGACGGGGGCCCGCACAAGCGGUGGAGCAUGUGGUUUAAUUCGAUGAUACGCGAGGAACCUUACCAAGGCUUAAAUGUAGUUUGACCGAUUUGGAAACAGAUCUUUCGCAAGACAAAUUACAAGGUGCUGCAUGGUUGUCGUCAGCUCGUGCCGUGAGGUGUCAGGUUAAGUCCUAUAACGAGCGCAACCCCUGUUGUUAGUUGCCAGCGAGUCAUGUCGGGAACUCUAACAAGACUGCCAGUGCAAACUGUGAGGAAGGUGGGGAUGACGUCAAAUCAUCACGGCCCUUACGCCUUGGGCUACACACGUGCUACAAUGGGCGGUACAGAGAGCAGCCACUACGCGAGUAGGAGCGAAUCUAUAAAACCGUUCUCAGUUCGGAUCGGAGUCUGCAACCCGACUCCGUGAAGCUGGAAUCGCUAGUAAUCGGAUAUCAGCCAUGAUCCGGUGAAUACGUUCCCGGGCCUUGUACACACCGCCCGUCAAGCCAUGGAAGCUGGGGGUACCUGAAGUCGGUGACCGCAAGGAGCUGCCUAGGGUAAAACUGGUAACUGGGGCUAAGUCGUAACAAGGUAGCCGUACCGGAAGGUGCGGCUGGAACACCUCCUUUCUA